rnacentral:rRNA from 1 species
CCUACGGGUGGCUGCAGUGAGGAAUAUUGGUCAAUGGGCGCGAGCCUGAACCAGCCAAGUCGCGUGAGGGAAGACGGUCCUACGGAUUGUAAACCUCUUUUGUCGGGGAGCAACAGACGCCACGUGUGGCGUCCCGAGAGUACCCGAAGAAACAGCCUCGGGUAACACCGUGCCAGCAGCCGCGGUAAUACGGAGGAUGCCAGCGUUAUCCGGAUUUAUUGGGUUUAAAGGGUGCGCAGGCGGAAGGUCAAGUCAGCGGUAAAAUUGAGAGGCUCAACCUCUUCGAGCCGUUGAAACUGGUGUUCUUGAGUGGACGAGAAGUAUGCGGAAUGCGUGGUGUAGCGGUGAAAUGCAUAGAUAUCACGCAGAACGCCGAUUGCGAAGGCAGCAUACCGGCGCUCAACUGACGCUGAUGCACGAAAGUGUGGGGAUCGAACAGGAUUAGAUACCCGAGUAGUC